UACGUAGGUGGCAAGCGUUAUCCGGAUUUAUUGGGCGUAAAGGGAACGCAGGCGGUCUUUUAAGUCUGAUGUGAAAGCCUUCGGCUUAAACGGAGUAGUGCAUUGGAAACUGGGAGACUUGAGUGCAGAAGAGGAGAGUGGAACUCCAUGUGUAGCGGUGAAAUGCGUAGAUAUAUGGAAGAACACCAGUGGCGAAAGCGGCUCUCUGGUCUGUAACUGACGCUGAGGUUCGAAAGCGUGGGUAGCAAACAGG
rnacentral:rRNA from 1 species